rnacentral:rRNA from 2 species
GAUCCUGGCUCAGGACGAACGCUGGCGGCGUGCCUAAUACAUGCAAGUCGAACGAACUCUGGUAUUGAUUGGUGCUUGCAUCAUGAUUUACAUUUGAGUGAGUGGCGAACUGGUGAGUAAAACGUGGGAAACCUGCCCAGAAGCGGGGGAUAACACUGGAAACAGAUGCUAAUACCGCAUAACAACUUGGACCGCAUGGUCCGAGUUUGAAAGAUGGCUUCGGCUAUCACUUUUGGAUGGUCCCGCGGCGUAUUAGCUAGAUGGUGGGGUAACGGCUCACCAUGGCAAUGAUACGUAGCCGACCUGAGAGGGUAAUCGGCCACAUUGGGACUGAGACACGGCCCAAACUCUACGGGAGGCAGCAGUAGGGAAUCUUCCACAAUGGACGAAAGUCUGAUGGAGCAACGCCGCGUGAGUGAAGAAGGGUUUCGGCUCGUAAAACUCUGUUGUWAAAGAAGAACAUAUCUGAGAGWAACUUUAG